AGCAGCCGCGGUAAUUCCAGCUCCAAUAGCGUAUAUUAAAGUUGUUGCAGUUAAAAAGCUCGUAGUUGAAUUUCGGGAUCAAUAUGCCGGUCAUGCCUUGGUAUGCACUGGUAUCUUUGAUUUCUCCCUUCUGACGAACUUUGAUGUCAUUAAUUUGGUGUCAUAGGGAAUCAGGACUGUUACUUUGAAAAAUUAGAGUGUUUAAAGCAGGCUCACGCUUGAAUACAUUAGCAUGGAAUAAUGAAAUAGGACGUUUGAUUCUAUUUUGUUGGUUUCUAGGAUCGACGUAAUGAUUAAUAGGGAUAGUUGGAGGCAUUAGUAUUCAAUUGUCAGAGGUGAAAUUCUUGGAUUUAUUGAAGACUAACUACUGCGAAAGCAUUUGCCAAGGAUGUUUUCAUUAAUCAAGAACGAAAGUUAGGGGAUCGAAGACGAUCAGAUACCGUCGUAGUC
rnacentral:rRNA from 1 species